rnacentral:lncRNA from 1 species
GUCUAGCAAUUUAGCGGGAGAGAGACAGAUCGAUCAUACCAAACUUGUAUUCUAUGACUUGGAAUUUUCUGUGCCAAUUGUUCACUACCACAAAUGUGGGCAUCAUAUACCAUUUUCUCGCCACGUUUAAUGUAAACCACAAAUGAUGCUUUCUCCCCACUUUUAAUGUAAACCACAAAUGUGGGCAUCAUAUACCAUUUUCUCCCCACGUUUAAUGUAAAGGUGACAUAACCCAAACAAUUUCUCUCCAAUUCCUCUAAUGGUGUCUUUAUUAGAAGAUUUUGAUUUUAAUUUAAUUAAUAAAAGCAAAAGGUACAAAAGGCUUCCUCAUCCUCAUCUUCCUCUAUCUAAAAGCCAUGGCUUCUGAAAUCUUUUGAAAAACCUGUCGGAAAAAAAAAAAAGUUUUUUUGAAAACCCAGGCACAGGUCAAACGACCCAGAUCUGGUCAGCACCUCACCACCGGCUCGGAGACGAGGUAGACCACUCCGUCGCCUCUUCCGGUUUUGUUUCACCGUCUCUUACCAAACCACCACCAUAUCACUUCUCUUGCUUCCGUCUCCUGAACCCAUUCCACCAGCUAGACAUGCAACCCAAACCAGAUCAAAUCGAGCAUCUCAGACUUUCCGGCCAAGUCAGGCUAUCAAAUCAUAUGCAUGCUCUCUCUGGGUCUGGGGAGUCAUUGUGUUCUGAUAGAGCCAGAAACAGGGUGAUUGGGAGUUUUUGGGAGCAAGAGCUUGCAUUUUAGGUUGACGCAGAGCUCUCCGACCAUGAUUCGGCCCCAUUCAUUUAGUCUAAUCCAGCGACGUGGCCUCGCCGGCGCUGCAUGUUGUUGGCUCAAAAAUCAUCCCGGCCACGUGUCAAUGGGCCGAGGGCUUCUUUGGGCUACAGUGUCCUUCUGACUUAGUGAUGUGUGCGAUGGUGUGCCAACUCAUGGUCGAGAGGCCAAGCGAGGUUUUGUUCUGAUAUGUAGAUGCGCUGCCCUGACUUCUGAUCAGUCGACUGUGGGCCGAGAAAUGAUCGAUCUCGGCCACGGGGUUCUCUUUGCCUUGGGUGCAAGGACUUUAACAUGGAUCGGCUUAUCUGUCGAUCUUGGUGUUGUGUGACUAGGUGAAUGUUGUGAUAGUGCAAGUGAUGCAAAUGCAGGAAUGUAAAGUGCAUCAAAUAAAGUGCAGGAAACUAAAGAAAACAUAAAGGACCAUAAGAUAAAUUGCAAGUAUGAAAAGGAACAAUAAAGUAGAUUGCAGAAAAGAUAGACAAGUACCAAUAAAGUAAAACGAUAAGAUAAAAUACGAAGAGGAUUGAUGAUAAUGCUGAGAAGCUGAAUUGUAUUGAGAUAGAAAAUUUGUAAAUCGCGUUGAGCGUUUGGUCGAGGACCACUAACAAAGAAUCCUAUGGUCUUUUUUAUAGUGAUGCAAAAUAAAGAAACGUAAUCCCAGCUUUAAACACAGGGAUGGAAUCAAAGAAUUCAACCAAAAUCUUUUGAUUCCUAUAUAAUUGCAAAUUUCUAAUAACUGUUUUUUUGAGUGAAUAAAUGAAAAAAGAAGCUCAACUAGCAAAAGAGGUAGACCAUUAUCAAUUGCAACAAUCAAAUAAAUCGACAAUUUAGUAUCCUGCAUUCCUGCAUCAUUUUGUUCAGACUUGUACGAUGGUAUUGUAGGUACGGUUGAAAUUGUU